rnacentral:sRNA from 1 species
CAGCACAGCGUUUUUUUA